UAGGGAAUCUUCCGCAAUGGACGAAAGUCUGACGGAGCAAUGCCGCGUGAGUGAAGAAGGUUUUCGGAUCGUAAAACUCUGUUGUUAGAGAAGCGGUAUCUAACCAGAAAGCCACGGCUAACUACGUGCCAGCAGCCGCGGUAAUACGUAGGUGGCAAGCGUUGUCCGGAUUUAUUGGGCGUAAAGCGAGCGCAGGCGUUCUUUAAGUCUGAUGUGAAAGCCCCCGGCUCAACCGGGGAGGGUCUGGAAACUGGAGAACUUGAGUGCAGAGAGGAGAGUGGAAUUCCACGUGUAGCGGUGAAAUGCGUAGAUAUGUGGAGGAACACCAGUGGCGAAGGCGACUCUCUGGUCUGUAACUGACGCUGAGGCUCGAAAGCGUGGGGAGCAAACAGGAUUAGAUACCCUUGUAGU
rnacentral:rRNA from 1 species